rnacentral:rRNA from 1 species
AUUGAACGCUGGCGGCAUGCUUUACACAUGCGAGUCGAACGGCAGCGCGGGCUUCGGCCUGGCGGCGAGUGGCGAACGGGUGAGUAAUACAUCGGAACGUGCCCAGUAGUGGGGGAUAGCUCGGCGAAAGCCGGAUUAAUACCGCAUACGACCUGAGGGUGAAAGCGGGGGAUCUUCGGACCUCGCGCUAUUGGAGCGGCCGAUGGCAGAUUAGCUAGUUGGUGGGGUAAAGGCCUACCAAGGCGACGAUCUGUAGCUGGUCUGAGAGGACGACCAGCCACACUGGGACUGAGACACGGCCCAGACUCCUACGGGAGGCAGCGGUGGGGAAUUUUGGACAAUGGGCGAAAGCCUGAUCCAGCAAUGCCGCGUGUGUGAUGAAGGCCUUCGGGUUGUAAAGCACUUUUGGCGGGAACGAAAAGGACUGUGCCAAUACCACGGUUCGAUGACGGUACCCGAAGAAUAAGCACCGGCUAACUACGUG